rnacentral:rRNA from 1 species
CGCUGGCGGCGUGCCUAAUACAUGCAAGUAGAACGCUGAGGAUUGGUGCUUGCACUAAUCCAAAGAGUUGCGAACGGGUGAGUAACGCGUAGGUAACCUACCUCAUAGCGGGGGAUAACUAUUGGAAACGAUAGCUAAUACCGCAUGAYACUAGAGUACACAUGUACUYAAGUUAAAAGGAGCAAUUGCUUCACUAUGAGAUGGACCUGCGUUGUAUUAGCUAGUUGGUGAGGUAACGGCUCACCAAGGCGACGAUACAUAGCCGACCUGAGAGGGUGAUCGGCCACACUGGGACUGAGACACGGCCCAGACUCCUACGGGAGGCAGCAGUAGGGAAUCUUCGGCAAUGGACGGAAGUCUGACCGAGCAACGCCGCGUGAGUGAAGAAGGUUUUCGGAUCGUAAAGCUCUGUUGUUAGAGAAGAACGGUAAUGGGAGUGGAAAAUCCAUUACGUGACGGUAACUAACCAGAAAGG